GACGAACGCUGGCGGCGUGCUUAACACAUGCAAGUCGAACGGAAAGGCCCCUUUGGGGGUACUCGAGUGGCGCACGGGUGAGUAACACGUGAGUAACCUGCCCUUGACUUCGGGAUAACUUCAGGAAACUGGGGCUAAUACCGGAUAGGAAUCCUUGCUGCAUGGUGGGGGUUGGAAAGCUUCGGCGGUUUUGGAUGGACUCGCGGCUUAGCAGCUUGUUGGUGGGGUAGUGGCUUACCAAGGCUUUGACGGGUAGCCGGCCUGAGAGGGCGACCGGCCACAGUGGGACUGAGAGACGGCCCAGACUCCUACGGGAGGCAGCAGUGGGGAAUAUUGCACAAUGGGCGGAAGCCUGAUGCAGCAACGCCGCGUGCGGGAUGACGGCCUUCGGGUUGUAAACCGCUUUCAGCAGGGGCGAAGCUUGUGGUGACGGUACCUGCAGAAGAAGCACCGGCUAACUACGUG
rnacentral:rRNA from 1 species